UACGUGGGGGGCGAGCGUUGUCCGGAAUCAUUGGGCGUAAAGCGCGUGUAGGCGGCCCGGUAAGUCCGCUGUGAAAGUCCAGGGCUCAACCCUGGGAUGCCGGUGGAUACUGUCGGGCUAGAGUCCGGAAGAGGAGUGUGGAAUUCCUGGUGUAGCGGUGAAAUGCGCAGAUAUCAGGAGGAACACCAAUGGCGAAGGCAGCACUCUGGGACGUGACUGACGCUGAGACGCGAAAGCGUGGGGAGCAAACAGG
rnacentral:rRNA from 1 species